CCUACGGGGCGCAGCAGUGAGGAAUAUUGGUCAAUGGGCGGAAGCCUGAACCAGCCAAGUAGCGUGCGGGAUGAAGGCCCUACGGGUCGUAAACCGCUUUUGCACGGGGAUAACACCCUCCACUUGUGGAGGUCUGCAGGUACCGUGCGAAUAAGGGCCGGCUAAUUCCGUGCCAGCAGCCGCGGUAAUACGGAAGGCCCGAGCGUUAUCCGGAUUUAUUGGGUUUAAAGGGUGCGUAGGCGGAAGGUUAAGUCAGUGGUCAAAUGUCGGUGCUCAACACCGGCCUGCCGUUGAAACUGGUCUUCGUGAGUGAGCGAGAAGUAUGCGGAAUGCGUGGUGUAGCGGUGAAAUGCAUAGAUAGCACGCAGAACUCCGAUUGCGAAGGCAGCAUACCGGCGCUCAACUGACGCUGAGGCACGAAAGCGUGGGGAUCGAACAGGAUUAGAUACCCGAGUAGUC
rnacentral:rRNA from 1 species